AUUGAACGCUGGCGGCAUGCCUUACACAUGCAAGUCGAACGGCAGCACGGGUGCUUGCACCUGGUGGCGAGUGGCGAACGGGUGAGUAAUACAUCGGAACAUGUCCUGUAGUGGGGGAUAGCCCGGCGAAAGCCGUAUUAAUACCGCAUACGAACUACGGAUGAAAGCGGAGGCCCUUCGGGCCUCGCGCUAUAGGGUUGGCCGAUGGCUGAUUAGCUAGUUGGUGGGGUAAAGGCCUACCAAGGCGACGAUCAGUAGCUGGUCUGAGAGGACGACCAGCCACACUGGGACUGAGACACGGCCCAGACUCCUACGGGAGGCAGCAGUGGGGAAUUUUGGACAAUGGGCGAAAGCCUGAUCCAGCAAUGCCGCGUGUGUGAAGAAGGCCUUCGGGUUGUAAAGCACUUUUGUCCGGAAAGAAAUCCUUGGCCCUAAUACGGUCGGGGGAUGACGGUACCGGAAGAAUAAGCACCGGCUAACUACGUG
rnacentral:rRNA from 1 species